GGUGGCGUAGCCAAGCGGUUAGGCAACGGUUUGCAAAACCGUCAUACGGUGGUUCGAAUCCACUCGCCACCUCCA
rnacentral:tRNA from 1 species